rnacentral:lncRNA from 1 species
GCUCAGGUCAUCCUGGCUGUACACGCUCCACCAGACUCAUGAAGGGGUCACUGCCUCAGUCCUAAUUUUCUUAAGAAUCCUUUCUCCCCGAGGUAUCUAAUUAGAAGAGUUCCUGUCACCCUGGAAGCUAGGGCUCUCUCGGGGGCUCUGGUGGUCCAUUGGGAAGCAUGGUGUCUGAAGAAUGGUGUCUCGACCUUGAGACCUUCCUAAGAGUAUGUUGAGAAAAUUGUCGAGAGCAGGACAGGCUGAGUUUGAGGACUGCUCGCCCUUCCUGGGGUGAAAGAUGGCAGGUUUUUAUUUACUUACCUCCCUUAUUGACUUGCUGAACAGGGUCUAUUUGUCCUGGAUAAUAGGUCCCCAGGUCCCUGGGUCCAGGGCUUCUUAGUGGAACUCCUGGUGAGGUAUUCUCUGAAAAGAUCUUGUGCUGAGUCAGGCCACUGUAAUCCUUGGAGCCUAAGAGCCUAGUUUACCUGCCCCUUGUGUUUUUUCCCAAAAGUCAACCUUCAUAUGAAACAUUUGACCUAGAUUUCUAGCCUUGAGGCCACAGGGGUUCAAGCUCUUGCCUGAGGGCAGCCCUUUUCCAGAACCUUCCCCUGUACAUACGUGCUCCUUCCUUGACUGGUUCCAGGGGUCUGACUUUACACACACAAGAGGAAGGUGUAGGCAGCGUCUUUGUCCCACAGCUGGCCCAGGGUGGAGUCAGGAAAGCCUAGCACCUGAGCACCAUACACCUUCCCCCCAACCCCCACCAUGGCAGUGCUAGGUGCAGACCUAGACAGCAGUCCUUCCUCCCUGUGCCUCACUCCCCCAGUGGUUAGAGAGAUGGUCCAUUUUCCUUGCCUACCUCAUGGAGCUGUAAUGAGAAGUCAUGGAGAAGCACUUUGUCCCUUUGAAGGAUGACACCAAAGCCCCCCUGACAGGCAGUGCAGUGGUACGAACCGCAGAGUGUGUUUGCAUCCGAAGCUCUGAGGCAUCACCCUCAGAGCCUGCCAGUCUUAGAGGUCCCUGUCAAGCAACACCAGUUGCCAUUGCUCAUUGCUGUCAGUUGGGGGCCCUGCCUCUACCUUCAAGUUGGUUCCUGCCACCACCCUCUGAGUACGCAGCUCAGUAUCACUGUAAAGGUACCAGUGCUGGGAGGUGGGGGUGGGGAGGCGUGGGGAGGCGGGAGGCUCAGCCCUGAAGCAAUGGCUUGCCCUAGCCUUAUCCUGCAAGCCUCACUUCUUCCUCUAGCCUCCAUCUCAAAUGAAUUCCGCAUAAAAACGUCCUGGCACUUCUCCCCAGGGCCAGGGUACUUGCUCCCUAAAUCCCUGUGCCCUUCAGAGACUGCUCUGUCCUGGAAGGGGGCCAGCAGAAGCUGACAGCCUUGCGUGAGGAUGACUCCGUUCGCUUCUGCAGACUGCCCAGCGCGCUGUGACUGAUUUCUAGAGUGUGUAUGUUGCUAGUUUUGUUUUUGUUUUUUUAAUAAAAAGCAGGAUUCAUGUAAAUAGCUUUUUUUGGGAGCAGAUACUGAUCUGUCCCAUGCGACCAUGUGGACGAUUUCAAGGUGCUGAAGCGACACUAAUAAACUGACGGCGCUCAGGC